rnacentral:rRNA from 1 species
GACGAACCGUCCAAACGUUAUUCGGAAUCACUGGGCUUAAAGGGUGCGUAGGCGGUCCGGGAAGUUGGGUGUGAAAGCCCUCAGCUCAACUGAGGAAUUGCGCCCAAAACUGCCGGACUUGAGGGAGACAUAGGUGAGCGGAACUUAGGGUGGAGCGGUGAAAUGCGUUGAGAUCCUAAGGAACACCAGUAGCGAAAGCGGCUCACUGGGUCUCUUCUGACGCUGAUGCACGAAAGCUAGGGGAGCGAAGAGG